UGCGGUUCUUGGGUGAUGCAACCCAGAAUCGGGCUCCCUCCUCUUUGGUUCGGGGUGCAUCACCCCAGAACCACA
rfam:Myotis davidii contig147383, whole genome shotgun sequence.